GGGCUCACACAAGCGGUGGAGGAUGUGGCUUAAUUCGAGGCUACGCGAAGAACCUUAUCCUGGUCUUGACAUGUACGGAUGGCCCGCCUGAAAGGGAUGGGUCCUGCCUUCGGGUGAAACGUACACAGGUGCUGCAUGGCUGUCGUCAGCUCGUGUCGUGAGAUGUCGGGUUAAGUCCCUUAACGAGCGAAACCCUUAUCCCUAGUUGCCAGCGAGUCAUGUCGGGGACUCUAGGGAGACUGCCGGUGUUAAACCGGAGGAAGGUGGGGAUGACGUCAAGUCCUCAUGGCCUUUAUGGCCAGGGCUGCACACGUCCUACAAUGGCACGCACAAAGGGCAGCAAGUUCGCGAGGACAAGCAAA
rnacentral:rRNA from 1 species